UCAAGUACCCGGAGGGAAAGUUGAAAAGUACUUUGAAGAGAGAGUAAACAGUGCGUGAAACCGCUCAGAGGUAAACGGGUGGAGUUGAACUGGAAUCCCCGGGAAUUUAACUGAUAAGUAUAGCGUGCGCUUGAGCAUGUUAACCAGCAUCAGGGGUUUGCUUAAUUGCAGGCCUUGUCUCUUUGGAGAUUGGGUACACGUUGCACUUGUCACGUGUUGUGUGCUCUGAUUGCAUUGAGUUUGCUUGUCAGUGCAUUUUCUCGGGGUGAUCACCACGACCGGCGUUGUUGUCUGUUUGUUGCGGUUAAACCGAUCCGAUCUGGUCAUGUGGCUGGGUUUGGUCGGGACGGCAGGUAGCUUGUUUGCUUAUAUAGGUUUGCAAGUGUUAUUAGCUGACCGUARCAAAUUUGUGCAAUAUGUCGGAAAUAACGGCUUUGCUCACGCUGUCUGGCAAAUCAAUUUGGGUUUGAUUGGCACGUACUUGUUUUAGCAAGUCUGUCAGUAACCCAAUGGGGUUUGUUGGUAGUGGUGUGUAACGUGCUUUGAGCCUAUAGUCUGUGGUGUAGUGGUAGACGUUCCACCCGACCCGUCUUGAAACACGGACCAAGGAGUUUAACAUGUGCGCGAGUCAUUGGGCGUUACGAAACCCAAAGGCGCAGUGAAGGUAAAGGUUCGACUUGUUCGAACUGAGGUGAAAUCCUGUUGUAAUUAUUAGUUAUUAUCAAGCAUAUAAUGCAGCAGGCGCAUCACCGGCCCGUCUCAUAUUGUGGUUACAAAGCUUUUCUUUGUGCGUCAUUGGGGCGGAGCUAGAGCGUUCAUGUUGAGACCCGAAAGAU
rnacentral:rRNA from 1 species